rnacentral:rRNA from 1 species
GAGUUUGAUCCUGGCUCAGGACGAACGCUGGCGGCGUGCUUAACACAUGCAAGUCGAACGGAAAGGCCCUGCUUUUGUGGGGUGCUCGAGUGGCGAACGGGUGAGUAACACGUGAGUAACCCGCCCUUGACUUUGGGAUAACUUCAGGAAACUGGGCUAAUACCGGAUAGGAGCUCCUGCUGCAUGGUGGGGGUUGGAAAGUUUCGGCGGUUGGGGAUGGACUCGCGGCUUAUCAGCUUGUUGGUGGGGUAGUGGCUUACCAAGGCUUUGACGGGUUAGCCGGCCUGAGAGGGUGACCGGCCACAUUGGGACUGAGAUACGGCCCAGACUCCUACGGGAGGCAGCAGUGGGGAAUAUUGCACAAUGGGCGGAAGCCUGAUGCAGCAACGCCGCGUGC